rnacentral:rRNA from 1 species
UGCCAGCCGCCGCGGUAAGACGGAGGGGGUUAGCGUUGUUCGGAAUUACUGGGCUUAAAGAGCUCGUAGGUGGUUAAAAAAGUUGAUGGUGAAAUCCCAAGGCUCAACCUUGGAACUGCCAUCAAAACUUUUUAGCUAGAGUGUGAUAGAGGUAAGUGGAAUUUCUAGUGUAGAGGUGGAAUUCGUAGAUAUUAGAAAGAACACCAAAUGCGAAGGCAACUUACUGGGUCACUACUGACACUGAGGAGCGAAAGCAUGGGUAGCGAACCGGAUUAGAUA